UACGAAGGGGGCUAGCGUUGCUUGGAAUUACUGGGCGUAAAGGGCGCGUAGGCGGACAGUUUAGUCAGAGGUGAAAGCCCAGGGCUCAACCUUGGAACUGCCUUUGAUACUGACUGUCUUGAGUCCGGAAGAGGAGAGUGGAAUUCCUGGUGUAGCGGUGAAAUGCGCAGAUAUCAGGAAGAACACCCGUGGCGAAGGCGGCUCUCUGGGACGGUACUGACGCUGAGACGCGAAAGCGUGGGGAGCGAACAGG
rnacentral:rRNA from 1 species